rnacentral:rRNA from 1 species
GACAGAGGUGCCAAGCGUUAGGCGGAAUCACUGGGCUUAAAGCGUGUGUAGGCGGAUCGUUAAGUACCUUGUGAAAUCCCACGGCUCAACCGUGGAACUGCUGGGUAUACUGGCGAUCUUGAGCCACCUAGGGGCGAGCGGAACAAGCGGUGUAGCGGUGAAAUGCGUAGAGAUCAGCAGGAACACCCGUGGCGAAGGCGGCCCCCUGGGCCGAACCUGACGCUGAGGCGCGAAGGCUAGGGGAGCGAACGGG